CAGCCGCCGCGGGAACACGAAGGGGGCUAGCGUUGUUCGGAAUUACUGGGCGUAAAGCGCACGUAGGCGGACUUUUAAGUCAGGGGUGAAAUCCCGGGGCUCAACCUCGGAACUGCCUUUGAUACUGGAAGUCUUGAGUAUGGAAGAGGUUAGUGGAAUUGCGAGUGUAGAGGUGAAAUUCGUAGAUAUUCGCAGGAACACCAGUGGCGAAGGCGGCUAACUGGUCCAUAACUGACGCUGAGGUGCGAAAGCGUGGGGAGCAAACAGGAUUAGAUACCCCCGUAGUCCCUGUCUCUUAUAC
rnacentral:rRNA from 1 species